rnacentral:rRNA from 1 species
CUUUUGACCUCGGAUCAGGUAGGGAUACCCGCUGAACUUAAGCAUAUCAAUAAGCGGAGGAAAAGAAACCAACAGGGAUUGCCCUAGUAACGGCGAGUGAAGCGGCAACAGCUCAAAUUUGAAAUCUGGCUCUUUUAGAGUCCGAGUUGUAAUUUGCAGAGGGCGCUUUGGCUUUGGCAGCGGUCCAAGUUCCUUGGAACAGGACGUCACAGAGGGUGAGAAUCCCGUACGUGGUCGCUGGCUAUUGCCGUGUAAAGCCCCUUCGACGAGUCGAGUUGUUUGGGAAUGCAGCUCUAAAUGGGAGGUACAUUUCUUCUAAAGCUAAAUAUUGGCCAGAGACCGAUAGCGCACAAGUAGAGUGAUCGAAAGAUGAAAAGCACUUUGGAAAGAGAGUCAAACAGCACGUGAAAUUGUUGAAAGGGAAGCGCUUGCAGCCAGACUUGCUUACAGUUGCUCAUCCGGGUUUCUACCCGGUGCACUCUUCUGUAGGCAGGCCAGCAUCAGUUUGGGCGGUAGGAUAAAGGUCUCUGUCACGUACCUCCUUUCGGGGAGGCCUUAUAGGGGAGACGACAUACUACCAGCCUGGACUGAGGUCCGCGCA